GCCCGCCUAGCUCAAUCGGCCAGAGCGUCAGACUUUUACGGAAGGGCAUCUGAAGGCUGCGAGUUCGACCCUCGCGGUGGGCU